rnacentral:misc_RNA from 1 species
UUGAUCUACAGUCGUUGCUAUUAGAACGUGUGUUUGAAGAGUUUCAGAAUAAUACCAAUUUUCAUAGUUUAAAAUCAUCACGAAACUACUUGAACAUUUUUUUUUGUGUCCAGAAAGUACUACCUUACAAAAUGAGUAGCAAAUCGUAUUACAUAACCUAUUGGAGCUACUAAUGGGAUAAUUAUUUCGAAUUGAAAUUCGAAAUAUUCACGUUUUUUCGCAGUAAAAUUUAGCAAACGCCUAUCUUAACAUCACUUGCGGACACAAAGAAAACGCUAAAAUAUUGUGGCUUGUUUUCAGGCUCUGAGUAUACGAGAAUAUAUUGAAAUACCGGACGGAUUUCGUAAAUAAUUUGCUUUCCUCGAAUGUAGAAAAACCGGCAAUGAGGUCGAGUUAGCUAGGAGUAUGGGACCGCCGGGAUGGGCAUGCGUACAAACCCAGGGGGCAAGUCUCGUCCAUUGACUAACGCUACGGUACCGGUGCCUCAACAGUCUUUUGCCAUAUACACUAUUCCCAUUGCCUUAUUGACAUUUGUGUUUUUACAAACAGUUCACUGUAUUCAAGAAGAUGCAGUCCACAUCACUGCAAUACUCGGUGAGUCGGUGGUGUUCAAUUGCCACGUGGAGUUCCCUGAGGGACACCCCGUGCCGUUCGUGUUGCAAUGGGAGAAGAAGGUAGGCGACACGAAAGGCAGCGCCUUGAUUGAGUACUUUUUAAAGGGACAGGACAUACCCAUUUAUAUCUGGUAUGAAAGUUAUCCGACCCACAGCGGGGAGGGGUACGAGGGAAGAGUGUCGAGGGUAUCGCCGGACUCCCCUUACGGCGCAGCCUCGCUCAACCUUACCAACAUCAAAGAAUCGGACCAAGGAUGGUAUGAGUGCAAAGUGGUGUUUCUCAAUCGUCCCCCAAAUCAACCCAAGAAUGGUACCUGGUUCCACCUGGACGUGCACGCUCCCCCCAGGUUCGUAGUAACACCCGAAGACGUUAUCUACGUCAACCUGGGGGACGCCAUCAUCCUCAAUUGUCAAGCGGAGGGGACGCCCACCCCUGAAAUACUCUGGUACAAGGAUGCGAAUCCUGUUGAGGCUUCAUCGACGAUUGGUGUCUUCAACGAUGGAACGGAAUUACGAAUAUCGAAUAUCAGGCACGAAGAUAUUGGUGAUUAUACCUGCAUUGCUCGAAAUGGUGAAGGUCAGAUCUCUCAUACCGCGAGAGUCAUCAUUGCUGGAGGAGCUGUGAUAAUGGUACCUCCCACCAACCAAACCAAGCUGGAAGGUGAAAAAGUCCAGUUCAACUGCGAGGCGAAAGCGCAGCCCGGCAACGUAACGGUGAAAUGGUUCCGAGAGGGCGCGCCAGUCAAGGAGCUGGCGUCUCUCGAAACGAGGGUCACCAUCAGGCGGGACGGAUCAUUAGUCAUAAAUCCGGUCAGCUCCGACGAUUCCGGACAAUAUCUGUGCGAAGUGAGCAACGGCAUCGGCGAGCCGCAGUCCGCCUGGGCUUAUCUCAACGUAGAAUAUCCCGCCAAGGUAACUUUCACUCCCACUAUACAGUACCUUCCCUUCCGAUUGGCUGGAGUUGUACAGUGUUACAUCAAAGCCAAUCCCCCUCUACAGUAUGUCACGUGGACUAAAGAUAAGCGAUUGUUGGAGCCUUACCAGACCAAAGAUAUAGUGAUUAUGAAUAAUGGCUCACUUUUGUUCACAAGAGUGAACGAAAAUCACCAGGGUCGAUAUACCUGCACACCUUAUAACGCACAAGGUACUCAAGGUAGUUCUGGACAGAUGGAAGUGUUGGUGAGGAAGCCCCCAGUAUUUACCAUCGAACCUGAAGCAAUGUACCAACGGAAAGUAGGAGAAACUGUCGAAAUGCAUUGCGACGCUCAGGAAGCUGAAGGCACCCAAAAACCUUCAAUUCAGUGGCAAAGAAGGGAUGGAACACCCCUGCCAAAAAAUCGUGUGAAAAUACUGGGUGGGAACAUAACAAUAGAGUCUCUUAGGCGAUCCGACUUCGGCUUCUACCAGUGCAUUGCCACCAACGAAGUAGCAACGAUUAUCACGGCAACACAGCUAGUAGUCGAAGGCACUCAACCCCAUGCCCCAUAUAACCUCACUGGGACUUCUACUGAAUUCGCGGUGACUCUCAGCUGGUUACCUGGCUACAGCGGAGGUCCUGACUACAAGCAAGAUUACACCAUAUGGUACCGCGAAGCCGGUGUCUCCGAUUGGUCGACAAUCCCAGUCACGCCUUCCGGAAGUACCCAGGUUACCAUCAAUAGACUGGCUCCUGGUACGACUUACGAAUUCCAGGUGGUCGGCAAAAACGCCUUAGGAGACGGUAUGAUGAGUAAGAUCGUUACCGUUAGGACUCUAGAAGUUGGCUUACCGCACCAGAUCAAAGUUACUCCUACUCCUUUCCUCACUCCGAAUUCGGGUUUCGUACUUGAUGACUUUGAAAAAUCCAAGGGUACAGAUAUCUUAGAUUAUAGUAAUGUUGUUUUACCUACUGACUCAACAGGAUCUGCAUUGAUUCCACCUGUUUUCAAACAAAAAGGACCAAAACCGGGCGUUCCUAGGAAUCUAACCAUAACGGAGAUCAGCAACGGAUUCCUGAUCACGUGGAUGCCUCCCGUAGAGCGGGCGGAAAUAAUUCAACAGUACGUCAUUAAAUACAGAACUGAUGGGGACUGGAAAUCUUUGAACAAAGCUCAAAUCCGACCCGAAGAUACCCAGUAUUUAGUUAAAAACUUAGUAGGCGGCAGGACUUAUUACUUCAGGAUCCUCGCCUAUUCGGCAAAGAGUUACGAAAGUAGCGAAGAGGUGAAGUUCUCGGUACCGGCCCGAGUGAAGCACAAGGCUAUAACGGCCGGACUCGUGGGCGGAAUUUUGUUUUUCAUCGUCGCCAUCAUUCUAUCCGUGUGCGCUGUCAAACUGUGCAACAAGCGGAAGCGGCGGAAACAAGAGAAAGCGUAUAACAUGGUGGCCUGUCGAAUUACCGAUACCAGAAAUGGGGCUAACGCCACAGAUAGUCAAGUGCCUUUGAAAAAUUUCUGAUCCCAAUCGUGUGUUAUUUGCCGCCACCUGGAUCUGCGCAGGAGGAAAAAAGACUUAGAAAAGGCCGAAUACCAGGUUUAACCACU